rnacentral:lncRNA from 1 species
CAUCACUGAGAGGUUAUUAAUCAAUCAAUCAAUCCAUCUCAGGGCUGUAGAAUGAAUGUAAACAUGUUACUCACAGGCUGUUUGCUAUUGGCAGGAUGAUGAGGACAGUGACAUGUAUGAAGUGCCUCCCUGUGAGCGCCAAGCUGUAAAAGUCCCACAGAGACAAGAGGAGAACAUUUAUCUGGAGAGGCCAAACAAUACAGCCGUCCAACAGAGGCAGGCUGCUCCCCAGCCCAGGCCGUACAAAUCAUCGUCAGCUCCUGAGAUAGACAGGAAUGAGAAGCCAGGGAGGAAGAAGAUGAUGCCUCCUCCUCUCGGAGUCCGGCCGUCUACAGCUCCAGUGGCUGCAUCCUUUGAGGAAGAUGUCUAUCUGGACCCAAAUGAGGAACAGGAGGAUAAUGAUGACCUUUACUUAGAACCAGCAGCGGCUUGCCCUCCUGCCCCACGAGGCCCAGUGAAGGUGCUUCCAUCUACCAAACCACCCGCUCCCAUCCCCAUGAUGAAGCCUCCAGUUCCCAGAGCUAAGUCUAGCUCAGUCCUGCCAUCGCCGAACGAGUUAAGAACAGUUGAAGACAGACGUGCCUCCUUUCCCACCAAACUCCCUCCACCGACUCCCACUAUCAAGCCCCCUCUGCCUACAAACCUGAAAGAAACUAAACCGUGGUAAGAGGGGAGCAAUGCAAGGAGGACUGUGGCAACAAAACUGCAUCAUAUCCAGCUUAUUUUUAUAUAUCGUCAGUCUAACAGCAUAUCUGCAUAAGCUAC